rnacentral:rRNA from 1 species
GACGAACGCUGGCGGCGUGCUUAACACAUGCAAGUCGAACGAUGAACCCGGAGCUUGCUCCGGCGGAUUAGUGGCGAACGGGUGAGUAACACGUGAGUAACCUGCCCUUGACUCUGGGAUAACUGCGGGAAACUGUAGCUAAUACCGGAUACGACCCUCGGAGGCAUCUCCAGGGGGUGGAAAGAAUUUCGAUAAAGGAUGGACUCGCGGCCCAUCAGCUAGUUGGUGAGGGACUGGCUCACCAAGGCGACGACGGGUAGCCGGCCUGAAACGGUGACGGACAACACUGGGACUGAGACACGGCCCAGACGCCUACGGGAGGCAACAGUGGGGAAUGUUGCACAAUGGGCGCAAGCCGGAUGCAGCAACGCCGCGUGAGGGAUGACGGCCUUCGGGUUGUAAACCUCUUUUAGUAGGGAAGAAGCGAAAGUGACGGUACCUGCAGAAAAAGCACCGGCUAACUACGUGCCAGCCGCCGCCGUAA